GAAAAAUAAAAAUAAUAAUAAAAGCAACAUCAUUUCAUGACCUUCAAAAGAUAAAAUAACAAUCUGCCUCCAUUCGCGAAGUCAACUUAUUACUGAGUUUACUAGGAUUUAGCAGCCCAAAUCAACCUUUGUGGAUUCUACCAAUUCUUUUUUCAUCUCCUUAAAUGAGUACUUUAUCAUGGAGACUAAAAUUAUCAAUUUAUCAUACACAAUAUUGGCAUCUAGGUGCAGAAUUUUAUUUACUUUUUAAAGUAUUAGAAGAUAUAUUUAAAAAAUUCAAAAUUAAUGAACUUAUCAA
rnacentral:misc_RNA from 1 species